rnacentral:lncRNA from 1 species
AUGUACUUGGGACUGAGCUGUGUAUUCAUUUUUUUUCUCUUAAAAGGUGUCCAGUGUGAGGAGAAGCUGGAUGAGUCUGGAGGAGGCUUGGUGCAACCUGGGAGGUCCAUGAAACUCUCCUGUGUUGCCUCUGGAUUCACUUUUACUAACUCCUGGAUGAACUGGUUCUGCCAGUCUCCAGAGAAAGGACUGGAGUGGGUAGCACAAAUUAAAAGCAAACCUUAUAAUUAUGAAACAUAUUAUUCAGAUUCUGUGAAAGGCAGAUUCACCAUCUCAAGAGAUGAUUCCAAAAGUAGUGUAUACCUGCAAAUGAACAACUUAAGAGCUGAAGACACGGGCAUCUAUUACUGUACAU